UUGAACGCUGGCGGCGUGCCUAACACAUGCAAGUCGAGCGGUAACAGGUGUAGCAAUACAUGCUGACGAGCGGCGAACGGGUGAGUAAUGCUUCGGAAUCUACCCAAUGGUGGGAUAACAGCCGAAGGUUGGCUAAUACCGCAUACGUCCCACGGGAGAAAGCAGGGGAUCGCAAGACCUUGCGCCAAUGGAUGAGCCGAAGUCGGAUUAGCUAGUUGGUAGGGAACGGCCUACCAAGGCGACGAUCCGUAGCUGGUCUGAGAGGACGACCAGCCACACUGGGACUGAGACACGGCCCAGACUCCUACGGGAGGCAGCAGUGGGGAAUAUUGGACAAUGGGGGAAACCCUGAUCCAGCG
rnacentral:rRNA from 1 species